CCUACGGGUGGCAGCAGUGAGGAAUAUUGGUCAAUGGGCGGGAGCCUGAACCAGCCAAGCCGCGUGAGGGAAGAAGGUACAGCGUAUCGUAAACCUCUUUUGUCAGGGAACAAAGGCGGGGACUAGUCCCCGGAUGAGGGUACCUGAAGAAUAAGCACCGGCUAACUACGUGCCAGCAGCCGCGGUAAUACGUAGGGUGCGAGCGUUAAUCGGAAUUACUGGGCGUAAAGGGUGCGCAGGCGGUUGAGUAAGACAGAUGUGAAAUCCCCGAGCUUAACUCGGGAAUGGCAUAUGUGACUGCUCGACUAGAGUGUGUCAGAGGGAGGUGGAAUUCCACGUGUAGCAGUGAAAUGCGUAGAUAUGUGGAAGAACACCGAUGGCGAAGGCAGCCUCCUGGGACAUAACUGACGCUCAGGCACGAAAGCGUGGGGAGCAAACAGGAUUAGAUACCCGGGUAGUC
rnacentral:rRNA from 1 species